CCAGGCUCAGAAUGGCUGCCAGGCUCACAACUGCCUUCUACAGAAACCCAAACAUUUUCUGAUGGAAGAAGGAACUUUGCUGACUGACCUCCACCUUUAUCAUAGGUGAUAGGACUGAAUGAAGAGAUUAAUGCAAAAGGAAACAAGUGUGCAGAAUGGUGAAAGAGAUUCAUAACUCUGGCUUUCAAAAUGGAGGGAAGAUCUUUUCAGACAUGAAUACAACCAACUUCUAGAUGCCAAAGAAGACAAAUAAAUGAUUGCCUCCUAAUCCCAUUGAAACUCAACAAAUCCUACCAGCAUGCGCAAGCUAAGCAAUAGUGG